AUUGAACGCUGGCGGCAGGCCUAACACAUGCAAGUCGAGCGAGCGGCGGACGGGGGAGUAAUGUCUGGGAAACUGCCUGAUGGAGGGGGAGAACAACACGAAACGGUAGCGAAUACCGCAUACCAUCAGAUGUGCCCAGAUGGGAUUAGCUAGUGGGGGGGGUAUUAGCUCACCUAGGCGACGCUCCCUAGCUGGUGUGAGAGGAUGACCAGCCACACUGGAACUGAGACACGGUCCAGACUCCUACGGGAGGCAGCAGUGGGGAAUUGUGCACAAUGGGCGCAAGCCUGAUGCAGCCAUGCCGCGUGUGUGAUGAAGGCCUUCGGGUUGUAAAGCACUUUCAGCGGGGAGGCGUUACCCGCAGAAGAAGCACCGGCUAACUCCGUGCCAGCAGCCGCGGUAAUAC
rnacentral:rRNA from 1 species